GAUGAACGCUGGCGGCGUGCCUAAUACAUGCAAGUCGAGCGAACAGACGAGGAGCUUGCUCCUUUGACGUUAGCGGCGGACGGGUGAGUAACACGUAGGUAACCUACCUAUAAGACUGGGAUAACUUCGGGAAACCGGAGCUAAUACCGGAUAAUAUUUCGAACCGCAUGGUUCGAUAGCGAAAGAUGGCUUUGCUAUCACUUAUAGAUGGACCUGCGCCGUAUUAGCUAGUUGGUAAGGUAACGGCUUGCCAAGGCAACGAUACGUAGCCGACCUGAGAGGGUGAUCGGCCACACUGGAACUGAGACACGGUCCAGACUCCUACGGGAGGCAGCAGUAGGGAAUCUUCCGCAAUGGGCGAAAGCCUGACGGAGCAACGCCGCGUGAGUGAUGAAGGUCUUCGGAUCGUAAAACUCUGUUAUUAGGGAAGAACAAACGUGUAAGUAACUGUGCACGUCUUGACGGUACCUAAUCAGAAAGCCACGGCUAACUACGUG
rnacentral:rRNA from 1 species